rnacentral:rRNA from 1 species
UGCGGGAUGAGGCCUUUCGGUUGUAAACCGCUGUCAGGGCAUAGAAAACCCGGUGCGGUAAUAGCCGUACCGCUGAUCCUGCCCAAAGGAAGCACAGGCUAAUCUCGUGCCAGCAGCCGCGGUAAUACGAGAUGUGCGAGCGUUGUUCGGAAUCACUGGGCAUAAAGGGUGCGUAGGCGGUGCGCCAAGUCGGGUGUGAAAGCCCUCGGCUUAACCGAGGAAUCGCAUUCGAUACUAGCGCGCUAGAGGGUAAAAGGGGCAAGCGGAAUUCUAGGUGUAGCGGUGGAAUGCGUAGAUAUCUGGGAGAACGCCGAGGGCGAAGGCAGCUUGCUGGGUUACUUCUGACGCUGAGGCACGAAAGCUAGGGGAGCAAACAGGAUUAGAUACCCUGGUAGUCCUAGCCGUAAACGAUGAGCACUUUGUUCCGGAGGGCCUGAUCCUUUCGGAGCCGUAGCUAAUGUGUUAAGUGCUCCGCCUGGGGAGUAUGGUCGCAAGGCUAAAACUCAAAGGAAUUGACGGGGGCUCACACAAGCGGAGGAGCAUGUUGUUCAAUUCGAAGCAACGCGAAGAACCUUACCUGGGCUUGACAUGCAUUCAGUAGAAACCCGAAAGGGGGACGACCCGUAAAAUCGGGAGUUUGCACAGGUGCUGCAUGGCUGUCGUCAGCUCGUGUCGUGAGACGUUGGGUUAAGUCCCGUAACGAGCGAAACCCUUGUCGUCUGUUGCCACCGGGUCAUGCCGGGCACUCUGACGAGACUGCCGGUGUUAAACCGGAGGAAGGUGGGGACGACGUCAAGUCAUCAUGGUCCUUACGCCCAGGGCCACAAACGUGCUACAAUGGCGAGUACAGAGAGACGCAAGGCCGCGAGGCGGAGCAAAUCUUCAAAACUCGCCCCAGUUCGGAUUGGAGGCUGCAAUUCGCCUCCAUGAAGUUGGAUUCGCUAGUAAUCGCGGAUCAGCCACGCCGCGGUGAAUACGUUCCUGAGCCUUGUACACACCGCCCGUCAAGCCACCCAAGCUGGAAGCACCCGAAGUCCGGCGCCAAUGUCCGGCC